ACGCUUCAGCAGCAAAUAUGCUAAAGUUGGAAUGAUUCAGAGAAGAUUAGCACGGCCCCGUGCAAGGAUGAAGGGCUAAUUCGUGAAGCGUUCCAUAUUUUA
ensembl:snRNA U6 U6 spliceosomal RNA